UACGUAGGGUGCGAGCGUUGUCCGGAAUUAUUGGGCGUAAAGGGCUCGUAGGCGGUUUGUCGCGUCGGGAGUGAAAUCCACUGGCUUAACUGGUGGCUUGCUUUCGAUACGGGCAGACUGGAGGUAUGCAGGGGAGACUGGAAUUCCUGGUGUAGCGGUGGAAUGCGCAGAUAUCAGGAGGAACACCGGUGGCGAAGGCGGGUCUCUGGGCAGUAACUGACGCUGAGGAGCGAAAGCGUGGGGAGCGAACAGG
rnacentral:rRNA from 1 species